GAUGAAGAACGUAGCGAAAUGCGAUAAGUAAUGUGAAUUGCAGAAUUCAGUGAAUCAUCGAAUCUUUGAACGCACAUUGCGCCCGCCAGUAUUCUGGCGGGCAUGCCUGUCUGAGCGUCUUUUCAACCCUCAUGCCCCUAGGGCGUGGUGUUGGGGAUCGGCCAAAGCCCGCGAGGGACGGCCGGCCCCUAAAUCUAGUGGCGGACCCGUCGUGGCCUCCUCUGCGAAGUAGUGAUAUUCCGCAUCGGAGAGCGAUGAGCCCCUGCCGUUAAACCCCCAACUUUCCAAGGUUGACCUCAGAUCAGGUAGGAAUACCCGCUGAACUUAAGCAUAUCAAUAAGCGGAGGA
rnacentral:misc_RNA from 1 species